rnacentral:rRNA from 1 species
UCCUGGCUCAGGACGAACGCUGGCGGCGUGCUUAACACAUGCAAGUCGAACGAGAAUCUGUGGAUCGAGGAUUCGUCCAAGUGAAGCAGAGGACAGUGGCGGACGGGUGAGUAACGCGUGAGGAACCUGCCUUUCAGAGGGGGACAACAGUUGGAAACGACUGCUAAUACCGCAUGAUACGUAUUGGGGGCAUCCCUGAGACGUCAAAGAUUUAUCGCUGAAAGAUGGCCUCGCGUCUGAUUAGCUAGUUGGUGGGGUAACGGCCCACCAAGGCGACGAUCAGUAGCCGGACUGAGAGGUUGACCGGCCACAUUGGGACUGAGAUACGGCCCAGACUCCUACGGGAGGCAGCAGUGGGGAAUAUUGGGCAAUGGGCGCAAGCCUGACCCAGCAACGCCGCGUGAAGGAAGAAGGCUUUCGGGUUGUAAACUUCUUUUAAGAGGGAAGAGCAGAAGACUGUACCUCUAGAAUAAGCCACGGCUAACUACGUGCCAGCAGCCGCGGUAAUACGUAGGUGGCAAGCGUUGUCCGGAUUUACUGGGUGUAAAGGGCGUGCAGCCGGGAAUGCAAGUCAGAUGUGAAAUCCAUGGGCUUAACCCAUGAACUGCAUUUGAAACUGUAUUUCUUGAGUACUGGAGAGGCAAUCGGAAUUCCUAGUGUAGCGGUGAAAUGCGUAGAUAUUAGGAGGAACACCAGUGGCGAAGGCGGAUUGCUGGACAGCAACUGACGGUGAGGCGCGAAAGUGUGGGGAGCAAACAGGAUUAGAUACCCUGGUAGUCCACACUGUAAACGAUGAAUACUAGGUGUGCGGGGACUGACCCCCUGCGUGCCGCAGUUAACACAAUAAGUAUUCCACCUGGGGAGUACGAUCGCAAGGUUGAAACUCAAAGGAAUUGACGGAAGGGCG